GUGUCCUGUGAUGUCUAGCACUGGGCUCUGAUCACCCUGGAGGACACAGUACCCCCCAGGACCUUUAACUCUUGGGGUUCUGAGGGGCCU